rnacentral:rRNA from 1 species
UAGGGAAUCUUCCACAAUGGACGAAAGUCUGAUGGAGCAACGCCGCGUGAGUGAAGGAGGGUUUCGGCUCGUAAAACUCUGUUGUUAAAGAAGAACAUAUCUGAGAGUAACUGUUCAGGUAUUGACGGUAUUUAACCAGAAAGCCACGGCUAACUACGUGCCAA